UGGACACUGCGUUGAGCUCAUUAU
rnacentral:piRNA from 1 species